rnacentral:rRNA from 1 species
CGAACGGGUGAGUAACGCGUGAGGAACCCGCCUCAAAGAGGGGGACAACAGUUGGAAACGACUGCUAAUACCGCAUAAGCCCACGGCUCGGCAUCGAGCAGAGGGAAAAGGAGCAAUCCGCUUUGAGAUGGCCUCGCGUCCGACUAGCUAGUUGGUGAGGUAACGGCCCACCAAGGCGACGAUCGGUAGCCGGACUGAGAGGUUGAACGGCCACAUUGGGACUGAGACACGGCCCAG